rnacentral:rRNA from 2 species
AACGACUCUCGGCAACGGAUAUCUCGGCUCACGCAUCGAUGAAGAACGUAGCAAAAUGCGAUACUUGGUGUGAAUUGCAGAAUCCCGUGAACCAUCGAGUUUUUGAACGCAAGUUGCGCCCAAAGCCUUUUGGCCGAGGGCACGUCUGCCUGGGCGUCACAC